GGCACAUGAUGGUUUUUUCUCACGAUGGUCUGCGGAUGCCUCUGGGCACUGCCGAAAACGCCAAUGGCUUAGCUGAUGCCAGGAG